GAUGAACGCUGGCGGCGUGCCUAAUACAUGCAAGUCGAGCGAACGGACGAGAAGCUUGCUUCUCUGAUGUUAGCGGCGGACGGGUGAGUAACACGUGGAUAACCUACCUAUAAGACUGGGAUAACUUCGGGAAACCGGAGCUAAUACCGGAUAAUAUUUUGCACCGCAUGGUUCAAAAGUGAAAGACGGUCUUGCUGUCACUUAUAGAUGGAUCCGCGCUGCAUUAGCUAGUUGGUAAGGUAACGGCUUACCAAGGCAACGAUGCAUAGCCGACCUGAGAGGGUGAUCGGCCACACUGGAACUGAGACACGGUCCAGACUCCUAAGGGAGGCAGCAGUAGGGAAUCUUCCGCAAUGGGCGAAAGCCUGACGGAGCAACGCCGCGUGAGUGAUGAAGGUCUUCGGAUCGUAAAAAUCUGUUAUUAGGGAAGAACAUAUGUGUAAGUAACUGUGCACAGCUUGACGGUAACUAAUCAGAAAGCCACGGCUAACUACGUG
rnacentral:rRNA from 1 species